CCUACGGGUGGCUGCAGUCGAGAAUCAUUCACAAUGGGGGAAACCCUGAUGGUGCGACGCCGCGUGGGGGAAUGAAGGUCUUCGGAUUGUAAACCCCUGUCAUGUGGGAGCAAAUUAAAAAGAUAGUACCACAAGAGGAAGAGACGGCUAACUCUGUGCCAGCAGCCGCGGUAAUACAGAGGUCUCAAGCGUUGUUCGGAAUCACUGGGCGUAAAGCGUGCGUAGGCUGUUUCGUAAGUCGUGUGUGAAAGGCGCGGGCUCAACCCGCGGACGGCACAUGAUACUGCGGGACUAGAGGAAUGGGGUGGUCAGGGGAAUUCGGGGGGUAGAGGGGAAAUGCGUAGAUA
rnacentral:rRNA from 1 species